UGGAUCUCGACAGGGUUGAUAUGAGGACACAUGUGUAAUCAACGGCUGUAAUGACGCCACGUCAUUGUUACAUGUGUUCUCAGGUCACCCCUGCUGAGCUCUU
rfam:Arabidopsis lyrata subsp. lyrata unplaced genomic scaffold ARALYscaffold_6, whole genome shotgun sequence.